UACGAAGGGGACUAGCGUUGUUCGGAAUCACUGGGCGUAAAGGGCGCGUAGGCGGCCUUGCAAGUCGGUUGGUGAAAGCCCGGGGCUCAACCCCGGAGGUGCGGCCGAGACUGCAGGGCUGGAGGCCGGAAGAGGAGGGUGGAAUACCCAGUGUAGAGGUGAAAUUCGUAGAUAUUGGGUGGAACACCGGUGGCGAAAGCGGCUCUCUGGUCCGGACCUGACGCUGAGGCGCGAAAGCGUGGGGAGCAAACAGG
rnacentral:rRNA from 1 species